rnacentral:rRNA from 1 species
AAUGGGCGCAAGCCUGAUCCAGCCUGCCGCGUGAGUGAUGAAGGCCUUCGGGUUGUAAAGCUCUUUUUUCAGGGAAGAAACACC